rnacentral:rRNA from 1 species
GACGAGCCACACGAACGUUAUUCGGAAUUACUGGGCUUAAAGGGUGCGUAGGCGGUGCGGAAAGUUGGGUGUGAAAUCCCUCGGCUCAACCGAGGAACUGCGCCCAAAACUACCGCACUCGAGGAAGAUAGAGGUGAGCGGAACUUACGGUGGAGCGGUGAAAUGCGUUGAUAUCGUAAGGAACACCCGUGGCGAAAGCGGCUCACUGGGUCUUUUCUGACGCUGAGGAGCGAAAGCGUGGGGAGCGAGCAGG